UACGAAGGGGGCUAGCGUUGCUCGGAAUUACUGGGCGUAAAGCGCACGUAGGCGGCUCUAUAAGUCGGGGGUGAAAUCCUGGAGCUCAACUCCAGAACUGCCUUCGAUACGGUAGAGCUUGAGUUCGGGAGAGGUGAGUGGAACUGCGAGUGUAGAGGUGAAAUUCGUAGAUAUUCGCAAGAACACCAGUGGCGAAGGCGGCUCACUGGCCCGAUACUGACGCUGAGGUGCGAAAGCGUGGGGAGCAAACAGG
rnacentral:rRNA from 1 species